CAUGGGUAGAGCACAUCGUUCACAUCGAUGGGGUCACAGGUUCGAGUCCUGUUGCGACCA
rnacentral:tRNA from 1 species